AAAGUUUCAGUGCAUUCCGUUGAUGUAGACGGCGUGAAAACGGAAACAAGUAUGCUGGCUCACUGUGCUGCAUACAAUUACACACUGCGUCCUACGAUUGAGACAAGGAAACUUGGAAUGACUUUUCAUAGGUUUCCCAGAGACUAUGGGCUGAGGAGGAAUUGGAAGUUUGUCGGCUUAGACCUGGUGUCAUUCCAUCAGUGUUAAACUUCCCGGCUCAUCUUGGAAGAGUACGUGCCAGAAAGACCACGACCAAACAGCCUUGAGAUCUUAGGCAGCGUCUCCCUCAGACCAAAGAACUACAGACUCUUCACAACCUGCUCAAACUCUUGGUACAGGACCUCACCACACGGGUCAAGAAGGUUUCCUUCUCAUUUCUACUCUGAAGCUCACCUUCUCCUGCUCAAACUGCUGACAAAUGUUUCUGCUGCUCUAAAGUCUGGUCUCCCGAACUUCCUAAAAACUCUCAAUGGCUCUUCUGCUGCAGGUUGCUUUGUACAACUGUUCCAGAAAACCUCACUAAACCACAUGGAGGGGCCUCAAGAUAGUCGUCCAAAUGAAACCAUACAAAAACCAAACUAGUACAACCCAAACGCUAAAGUCUCCUGCAGCCUACCAGAGAACCUCUUUAAACAGAGAAUCAGGACAGGAACUCUUACCUUCUGGACAAUCAACAUCGGUUCUCAAACAAGAACACAGAAUGUGUCUGACCAGAAACCUCUAAAGACUCACUACAGCCAAGAUAAAGACACAACUCAACUGUACCAAAUCCACUAAUCACUGCACACAUUAGCACCAUGUGCUAACUGUGGCUAAAGAACCACAUUUACCAAGACAACUAUCCAGUACAAAGCCCUAAAACACACCAAGAAACACAUUAAAGACGAUUUUACUGCUGGAAGCUGCAAGCCAACGCCUAAAGAACAAACUAAAGCAAUGGAGCCAAACCCAGUUCACUGGUGAACAGAAGCAGAGGAAAUGUUUGACUGAGCCAAAUAAAGCAGGAAGACACUGAGCUGCUCAGGUGUUCCUGAUAACACCAAGCAGCCACCUGGACAGCCAAUAGGAACACAGCCACCUGGACAGCCAAUAGGAACACAGCUUACUGGAAGUCCAGAGGGCUGGCUUAGUGAAGCAAAUUUAAUUUAAAGUUGAAGCAGAAAGUUAAUAAAGUUGAAAACCACCUUCUGAUACCUGAAAUCUCUGAGUUUUCACACAAAGAACACCUGAACAUGUCAAACUAGUUCCAUAGUAGAACCAUCAUUGUAAAAACGUCAUAGUAUGGUGUGUUGCUCAAAAAACAUUAGGACCCGGCUGUCAGGGGACAAACAUGUAAGAAACAUGAGAACAGAGAGAACCCAACCAGUAGGUCACAGUUUAUCAUCCCCCAGUCAUCUCCUGAAGUCCAUAUGGUGAGAGACAUCAGUAUCUGGUUGUUCAUUUACCAGAGGAUGCUUAUAAUCAUGCUGAUGUGGUCUGUACUCUACAGUAUUUUAGUGACUCAAUAAAUGCCUAAGUUGUUUUUUUUUAAAUGCUUUUUAGUUUUUAAUAAACAUUUAAGAGCCUAUAUGUAAUCAAUAAAUGGCCUUUGCCUAUCUUAAGAAAAAUUCACUCAGAACUCUGAUAUGUUAACAGUACUAAAUAAAUCAAUAAAUACAUGCAUACACACAUAAAUAAGUUAAUACAUUAACUGUGUUAAGAUAAGAUUUAGAUUUUAAAAAAGUUGUUUAUGUUUUUGCAGAAUCCAGUAUUGCUCACUGGUUGGUCAUUACAUUUUAUUAGUUUGAUUUCACUGUUUAAAAUGAUGCCACCUCUUUUCAGACAGAACCUGUGAUAAUAAAACAAUACAAAAUUUUUAGUUCCGUGUUAAUAAAGCACUUAAAGCUUUAAGUAUGGCUAAAUGCUUUUUUCAAAAUUAAAUAUAUCACUCCUUAGGUGGUAGUGGCCCCAAGUUCAGUAAAGUUGGAAAGAUAUUCACAGAUUCGGGCUUCCAGCAUCAAUAACGCAUUAGAUAUAGGUUGUCAAAACAUAAACGGUGCCUCUUUCCCAUUGUUGCAAGGCAGACAAUGUGCUACAAGCCCAGUUUUAUCAAAAGUAGCUGUCUUUCAAGCUACAGGAAUAACAUUGGUGUCUAUGGAGUGAACAGGGUCCGUCUGCAAUUUGCAAAACCACUGCAACAGUAAAGAGAGACAAAUAUUCAAUAACUUCACUCUUAUACAUUGUAGUGUCACUAAAAUCACUGCAGCCUUCAACUGGCUCCUGUUGACAAAGUGUUUUAACAGAAAUGUAAAUGCUGUAAUUUGAUUCUUUUAAUGAACCAUGUAACUUGAAUGGAUGCGAUGCUGGUGUGACCACAGUGCACACGUCUGAUGUUGCUCACAGUGGUCCAAGGGACGCUCAGGGAGUUUGUGUGUUUGCUCAGACUCAUGAAAAAUUACAGGGAACAUUGUUUGGGACUCAAGCAGUUCCUUCUUUUACUCACUAUCUCCCCAGCCUUAGAAAAAAAAACCUGUUCACACGGCACAGAUGAGGCUGAGGUACACAGGAAAUGUUUGGCUCCAUUGUACAAGUUUGGGUAAACGGUUUUGUGGGUUGCCCAGUAAGCCAGUGGGUCUGCCGUUCUUUCUACAAUUGCAUUCGCUGCGGCGCUUUGCAUUUGCCAGGCUCUACUUGCGUCUUCGUCUAAUAGGCUCCACAGUUGAACUGAAAAAUAUUGUAGAUCAUCAUCAUCAUCACCAGAAAUGUCAGUCAUUCCCUAUUCAGAAGAGAAAAAAAAAUAUCUGUGGAAGGUGCUGCUGGUGGUGGAGGACGAGGCUGUGGUGGUGCUUGUGACGUAGAUGACUGCUGCUUGGUAUUCUUUAUGUUAAUUGUUGUGCAUUCUGUUAUUAAACGUUCUUUCACACUGGCUGCCACUCUGAUUGGUGAAUCCAAAAGUUUUGAACUGCAGAGC